UUGACGACUUUUAAAUAAACAGUUUAUGUAAUGUAUGUCGCGUAAGCGUGCCAUAUAACUUUAGAAGAUUUUGAAAAUAGCGCACGAGUCUAUUAGACUACUAUUCAUGUUUUGGAGGUGGUCACAGUACUCAUUCACUCUCAUUAUAUAAGAAAUUAACGUUAUAUAUCCUGACAAAUCCCCCUUUUGUACACCAUAUGGAAGAAAGAUAUGAUGGCGAAAACGAACAAGCAUUGAGCUCUAGAUGGCAAUAAAGAGCCAUGAAAAGGACUUGACCAUGCUUAUUGUGAGGAUAGAACAAUUUGCAAGAAAGUGCAGGAAUGGAGAUCAUUCAUGUGCUUCACCUGAGGUGUUGAUAAGGAAACAGACAGCAGUGAGAUCGCAAGGACAGAGGGAAGACGCUAGAAGUUAGUAACUGAUCCCUGAUGGCUUGUUAUGUUUAGCACCUUCAUGCCAAAAUUCUGUCCAAUGCAGAUGCUUUCCAAGGACAUUGAUGAGGUAAAAAAAAAAGACACUGCAGGCAUGACUCUGCAUUUCUGAAAACGGCGCUCACAUUUGUCUUUAUAAUCUUCAGCAUCUGAGAUAAUAAGGAGGCAGGAAUGGUGUUAAUUACCCUCCCAGCAAGAUACAGAACAGCAUGCCAUUAUCUCGAAUGGGAGACAGAGUUAGUCAGGAAAAUUUGCUGCAUACAUUAAGAAUAUUGCCUAAGCGUGUGGUAUAUGUUUGGUACAUUAGUUCCUGUAUGAAGAUAUUAAAGAUAUAUUUUUAUUAUGUGACAUUAUGAUAUUCUAGAGCUUAAAAUAGUAAAGUUUUAUAAGUUAAAUUUUGCUUAAGAUUAUUAAAAACGUGAAAUAUAAUAAUGUAAAAUCAGAUAUCAGCUGAUGUUAGAUAUUUUUCGGCAUUGUUUGAUAUUGGAUAUUUAAUGGUGCAUUUUUUUCUGGAUAUUUAUUACCUUUGCUGUCAUCUAAUGCUCAAAGUUAAUCUUUAAAACAAAA